GGCCGUCUGGCGAAAUGGCAUCGCGUCUGACUACGAUAUUGAACAGGGGUUCGCGUUAUCAGGAGAUUGCAGGUUCGACCCCUGCGUCGGUCA
rnacentral:tRNA from 1 species